rnacentral:rRNA from 1 species
GCUCGUGGAUCGAUGAAGACCGCAGCUAAAUGCGCGUCAUAAUGUGAACUGCAGGACACAUGAACACCGACAAGUUGAACGCAUAUUGCACCUCGUACAACAGUACGAGGUACACAUUUUUGAGUGCCGUAUGCGGAGUGACGUUUUCCCGCCACGGUAAAACGUUGAAGAUAGUCAGGCGCGUCGUCCCGUCGACGUGGUUGAUGAAAACAUCCCAUAGAUCGCCACCAUCGGCUACGUUGUGUUCCAUCAGCGUAUGCUCCCUCCCGGGGUAUACCCUAUCUGCACUGCAUAUCAGUAGGCCUCAAAUAAUGUGUGACUACCCCCUAAAUUUAAGCA